rnacentral:rRNA from 1 species
CCUACGGGUGGCUGCAGUGAGGAAUAUUGCACAAUGGGGGGAACCCUGAUGCAGCGACGCCGCGUGAGUGAAGACGUAUUUCUGUGUGUAAAGCUCUAUCAGCAGGGAAGUAAAUGACGGUACCUGACUAACAAUCCCCGGCUCACUACGUGCCAGCAGCCGCGGUAAUACGGCGGGGGCCAGCGUUAUCCGGAUUUACUGGGUGUAAAGGGAGCGCAGACGGCUGUGCAAGUCUGGAGUGAAAGGCGGGGGCCCAACCCCCGGACUGCUCUGGAUACUGUAAAGCUGGAGUGCAGGAGAGGUAAGCGGAAUUCGUAGUGUAGCGGUGAAAUGCGUAGAUAUUAGGAGGAACACCAGUGGCGAAGGCGGCUUACUGGACUGCAACUGACGUUGAGGCUCGAAAGCGUGGGGAGCAAACAGGAUUAGAUACCCCUGUAGUC